rnacentral:rRNA from 1 species
UACGUAGGGUGCGAGCGUUGUCCGGAAUUACUGGGCGUAAAGAGCUCGUAGGUGGUUUGUCGCGUUGUUCGUGAAAACCGGGGGCUUAACCCUCGGCGUGCGGGCGAUACGGGCAGACUUGAGUACUGCAGGGGAGACUGGAAUUCCUGGUGUAGCGGUGGAAUGCGCAGAUAUCAGGAGGAACACCGGUGGCGAAGGCGGGUCUCUGGGCAGUAACUGACGCUGAGGCGCGAAAGCCAGGGGAGCAAACGGG